GAUGAACGCUAGCGGGAGGCCUAACACAUGCAAGCCGAGCGGUAGAGUCUCUUCGGAGACUUGAGAGCGGCGCACGGGUGCGGAACACGUGUGCAACCUGCCUUUAUCUGGGGGAUAGCCUUUCGAAAGGAAGAUUAAUACCCCAUAAUAUACUGGAUGGCAUCAUCUGGUAUUGAAAACUCCGGUGGAUAGAGAUGGGCACGCGCAAGAUUAGAUAGUUGGUGAGGUAACGGCUCACCAAGUCAGCGAUCUUUAGGGGGCCUGAGAGGGUGAUCCCCCACACUGGUACUGAGACACGGACCAGACUCCUACGGGAGGCAGCAGUGAGGAAUAUUAGACAAUGGGUGAGAGCCUGAUCCAGCCAUCCCGCGUGAAAGACGACGGCCCUAUGGGUUGUAAACUUCUUUUGUAUAGGGAUAAACCUAGAUACGUGUAUCUAGCUGAAGGUACUAUACGAAUAAGCACUGGCUAACUCCGUG
rnacentral:rRNA from 1 species